rnacentral:lncRNA from 1 species
AAAUAAGGCUGCGGCGGGAGCAGCGCCUUUUAUUUAAAAGAAAAAAAAAACCCAACUUAGUUCCCCAACUCUUCCCGCCCCCUCCCUCGCGGAGUGUGAUUGUUUUGUCUGGAAAAAAACCCAAAGUAUAACAAGGGGAGAACAGUUAGUGCUGAUUUCCAUUUGCAUAAAUUUUCAUAUAUUUUGGUGAAAAUAAUAGACGGGCGGAGAGCGGGGCUCGGCGGAGUCAGUGAGAGGGAAAAGAGGAGCGGGGAGAGCCGCGCCGGAGCCGAGAAGGCGCGGUGUGCCCCCGUCACCCCAUUAAAACCCCAAAUUAAAGCAAAAGCGUAUCUCCUCAGUGCCGCGAGUGCGCUCGGCCCACUCUGUUCUCCAGCCUCGUUACAUGGGUUUCUGUCUCUCCUCAGCAUCCCCUUGAAUGGCAUCUACUGCACGUGCUAUGUGACAGAUCCACACAAACAACAGAGGGGAAAGAGCCUCACUUAACUGAUUAGAGGAGAAAAGCAGUGAAAGGGAAUAUGCACAAAGCGCUGCCAAGUUCACAGAGCAAAGGAUAAGAUAAAAAAUUGAAUCAUUUCACUAUUUUUUUU